rnacentral:lncRNA from 1 species
CCCUCAAACUCACUCUCUCUCUUCCCUCUCGGCUGCCCACAUCCGCCACCACCCUCACCACUUCAACAUCCACCCAUUUGAUCCAUUUUCAAGUCCAAAACAAGUGAUAGAAGGAACCUUCUGAAGCUUGGAGCUUGGAGUCUUGAAGAAACAUCACCCCUUGCAUUCUCACGCCAUUUUCAUCAUCAUUUCUUGUUCACAAGUUCAUCCCUAGCCCUUGUGCUAGUUGUAAGUCUUCGAUUUAACUUUUGGUCACUUCUACGUUGAUUGUUCGAAGGAUUGUUGUUUGAAGUUUAACACAAGAAUACAAAGAGAAAAUGAACAAGGAACCUAAACAUGAACUGAUAAAAUCUGGUUGGAUUAUGUUAGUAUAAGCAUGCAUGUUGUUUGAUCAUUGAUUUCUCGAUAAACCCGUUGUUAGAACAAUUGUUGACGCGUUGUAGUAACAUUUACACUCUAAAAAGCAUGUUGAUUUGUAUUUUCAGCCAACUUCAACAGGCUGUAACUGGAUCAUUAAAAAUCGAAAAACUGAUUUUCUGAAGCCUAAAAUAUGCAUUUUCGAAAAACGGAUCAAAUGGCACUGGAAUCGUAAUUUUUCGAGGUCAUUUACUAUUUUUAAAGGACUGUUUUUGGACAGCAGCUCAAGCUGUGUUUUUACUGCAGAAAAAGUGUGUUGUAUUCAGAGUCAUAACUUAAAAACUGGGUAGAAUUAGCUCAUGGAAUUUUUACUGUAGAUGGUCACUGUUGUCGCGGUGAUCCUUCAACUGGAAUUUCGUCAAUCGGACUUACGAUUAAUUUUUAGUGAAUUAUUCCGUAGACUGCAAUAAGAAAGUGACAAAUCUGAUUGCAGUCCGGUAAAUGAAUUUCUUUAAAAUAUUGGUAAUGAACUGGACCCCGAUAUUUUUACACAAUAAAAUUUGGAUCGAAUAUAACAUUUUGUAAAAUUUGGGAAAUUUUGGAGAAGGUUAACUAUUUUAUUAAAUUGCUCGAAAACAGUCCAGUUCUGAUUAAUAAAGCUGAAAUGACAUAAGUAGCAUAUUGCAUGUCUAAUUGUCGGGUUGGUUAUGUGAGAACAAUCCACGGGAUAUAUGUAAAAGAAAAUGAUAUGCUAUUUAGCAUGGACACCUCCAUUUACAAAGGAGACUAUGGCGAAAUUUUCCGAAAAUCCUAACACUUAGUAAAUAUUUUCGAGACGAGUGUUUACUAGUAUAUCUUAGAUUAUGUUUUCAAAGAUAAAACUCGCCAUAAUUUUUAUCACAAAAUACAAAGUAUCGGAGGUUGGUUUUAUACAUAAAAAUGGUUAAGUAUAUAUUCUCAAAAAGGAACUUAAAAAUUUUUCCGACAUCCCAUCCUUGGGAAGGAAACGCGUAUAUAAGAUAUCUUGGAAGUAUUGAUACUAGAAUAUUGAACGAACAAAUAUCCCAACGCGGCCUAUGAUUAAGUUGAAAUAUUAAUUAUUUAGACAAAUCAUUAUCACUCGAAAUAAUGUAAGAAACAUAACUCAAAACAUUAAACUCUAAGCCAAGGCACGACCCGUUCGUCUAAUAGACAUUAGUACGUUGUACUUUGUCGUGUAGCGAACAGAGUUUGAGAUACGAUUCAAGACGCACUACAGACCACGGGGCAUGAGUGAUAGAUCUAUUUGGGUGUAGCGAGCCCACACCCAUGAGGCCGGGGCGGCCCAUAGUGGGAAUUAAUUGGAUCUGGCAAGUGUUGCAUGUUAGUCAAGCUGCGUACUAAAUAAGGAUGUCAUCCAGGGUUGUGGGGUUUGGGAAGUGUAACUCCUUCCUGGACAAGUUGCAUGUCUCUUAUCCUCGUAUUGUUGGUAGUCUUUCGUUGAGUCUUAUGAACUCAUUUUGAAACAAGUCAUGGUUUGUAAUGUAUUUUGUGGUUGAUGUUUUUAAGACAAUAUGUUAUGCAUUUUCUAAACUAUUUUAAUGGAUGAACAUCACGUACUU